GUGACUACAGCAGAGUUGCCCUUGAUGUUCUGAGACCACCCCAGACCAGCUGAUCCAAUUCACCCAGAUGACCAACCAAGCAGAAUGCUUCCCAGCAUUAGUCUCAAUCAUUAAAUCCUGGAGAAAGAGUAUGAUUUGUGCAUUAUGGGACUGUAAUUCACCUCUACCACCUUGACAGUGAUUGACACUCUCAAAUCCUACACCAAGGGUUUGGGUAGCUGUCCAAAGAGAUACAGAAGUACAACGGCUCCAAAAUGAACCAUGAGUCCAGGGCAGACAUGAGGAACAGCAUCUCCUACAAGCUCUGGAUCUUCCUUCAGGUUUUAUAGCACACAUUUGUCCAUGAGCCAGGACACAGGCAGUGCUGGCUGCGGCUGGAUGACAGAUUGAGCAUCCAAAAGAUUCUCCAACAAUUGGAAUUGAAGCCCAAAUCUAGCAAGAUGAAAUUAAAUAUGGAUUAAUGUGAAGGCCUGCACUUGUGUUCAGAGGAAGGAACAGCUGGUGGGGGCUGAGAUCAGGACGCCGGUGGUUAAUGGUAGUUUAUGUGGAAAGAUUAAAAGCUCAGAAUGUGCCAACAAUGAGAAGAUGUCCAAGAUGCUGCUGGGCUAAAGAGAUGGCUAAGAACUGGUGUGGCCUUCAUGGGCAGCUCUGAACUAUACAGCCACUCUGUCACCUAAUAGACUAAGACUCUGAGUGCCUAGCACACACCAGACUAGCUUGCACCAGUUAUAAUGUCUUGUUUAACUAACACACACACAGUGCUAUUAUUCCCAUCUUCCUCAUGAUGAAGCAAAGUAAGGGGAGGUUAAGUAACUUUCCCAAGGAUACACAACUUUGAUGGAGCCUUGGAACCCAAUCCAAAUGACUCCACAUCUUAUGCUCAUGAGCCCUGAGUCACCUGACCUCAAGAAGUGUGUCAAUUACACAAGGGAGAGAUUGGUGAGGUGCACUUAGUCUGUCCCAUGAAUUUAAAGACUCUUUCAUUCUGGAAGGUAUCAGAGUCACCAUUUCAAACAUGAGAGUCCGUGGGAAAGAACUGGAGCAUGCUGGGGCAGUAGCUGAAGAAACGCGGUCCCCCUGCAUCCGUACUUUGAGAGUGAGACGUCAGGAUGAAGUCUAUUCUGCUUAGCUGCUGGAGCUGGUGCUGGAGCAGUGGGUUUACAGCGACAUAGCUUCAUCUCAGAGUUCUGAAGAUCUUUCUGGUGUAGACUGUACUUAUACCAAACCUCAGAACACAAAUAUUAUACCAUUUACUAGACUUUUAUUAUGUGCUAAGAAUUUCUCAGUCGUGACACAGAAAGGCAUUUUCAUAAUAAAAAUCACAAGACUGGUUACUAUUACAUUGCUUACUCUAUACGAAUCGCUGCACAAUUUUAAGAAAAGGUUGCCAGCAUUAUCUCCACUUCAUAAACCACAAUAUGCAGCACAGAGAGGCUAAGAAAUCACCUAAGGUCACACAGCUAGAAAGAGGCAGGAUCCCUGUGUGAAACCAAGUUGCUCAACCCCUAGCUAGAGUCCCUGCUAUACUGGUGGCUGUGGGUCUCCUGGGAUAGCAGGGAGCGGUGGAGGCAUCUAGACACUAGAAAGUCAGCAUCCUCCUCCACGGAGUGCACUAGAAUGAAAAUCAAAGCCUCGUGGCAACCCUGGAAUCUAAAGCCCAGGGGCACAUUGCUUAAUUCUGGAGACUAGGAACAGACACAUACAGCCCUGCUCUGUGGGACUGUGCAGGGGGUCCUACCCGAUCUGGGCUCUGGCUGUGCGACCAGGAUGUUCCACACAGCGGGCUCCCGCCCUGCUGGGCCUGGCUCGAUGUGUUUUAUUAAAAAGCAGCAUUUAUCCGGCCUGCUCCUGGCAGGGCUGCGGCUGCAGUUUAUUAGGACAUCAUUUGGAGUGUAAAUUGUUGCUGGUUUAUAAAAAGGCUCUCGCAGAGCAGCUCCGCUGGGAUGGCCUGGAUCCGCAGCUCGAGGCAGACAGGCUUUAACGAAAUCAUUGAUUUCCCUCUGAAGCAGCAGCGGGCAGGAGCCUCGCCCAGCUGUUUAGCUGCCUACACCCUGUUCCUGGAGGGCAAAGUGGCAAGACUUCUUCCAGCUGUGUUGACAGCGCGUUCUCCUGCUGAAUCCCAGAUUCCCAAAGGCCAGUAGGGUGGA
rnacentral:lncRNA from 1 species